UGGCAAUGAUGACCAACUUAGGACACCUUUGGAAUCAAACAUGAAACAAAUCUUUGCUCUGAGCCCC